rnacentral:rRNA from 1 species
GUGUGCGUUCAUACUAGUAAUAAUGUAUCGGAUUCCAUCGAAACUCUGAAGAUAAGCGUGCUUGGGAGAGAAUGGUACUUAUUGAUGUCACAUAUGAUUUCUAUCAGUGAUGACA